UCCCUGGUUGAUCCUGCCAGUAGUCAUAUGCUUGUCUCAAAGAUUAAGCCAUGCAUGUCUCAGUGCAAGCCGCAUUAAGGUGAAACCGCGAAAGGCUCAUUAAAUCAGUUGUGGUUCCUUAGAUCGUACCCAAGUUACUUGGAUAACUGUGGUAAUUCUAGAGCUAAUACAUGCCGACAGAGUUCCGACCGUCGCGGCGCCCUCGGGCGUCGCUCGCGGGAGGAACGCUUUUAUUAGAUCAAAACCGGCCCGUCGCGGCGCGCUUCGUGCGCGUCCCGAUCGCGGCCCGCGCAAAGACCUGGUGACUCUGAAUAACUUCGAGCUGAUCGCACGGUCUCCGUACCGGCGACGCAUCUUUCAAAUGUCUGCCUUAUCAACUGUCGAUGGUAAGUUUCCAUGCCUACCAUGCUGGUACGGGUAACGGGGAAUCAAGGGUUCGAUUCCCGG
rnacentral:ncRNA from 1 species